AGAGUUUGAUCCUGGCUCAGAAUCAACGCUGGCGGCGCGCUUAACACAUGCAAGUCGCACGAGAGAGUGGAGCAAUCCAUGAGUACAGUGGCGUCCGGGUGAGUAACACGUGGAUCAUCUACCUCUUAGUGGGGAAUAACCCUGGGAAACCGGGGCUAAUACCGCAUAAGCUCGAGAGAGGAAAGCAGCAAUGCGCUGAGAGAGGAGUCCGCGGCCGAUUAGCUAGUUGGCAGGGUAAACGCCUACCAAGGCAAAGAUCGGUAGCCGGCCUGAGAGGGCACACGGCCACACUGGCACUGAAACACGGGCCAGACUCCUACGGGAGGCAGCAGUGGGGAAUCUUGCACAAUGGGGGAAACCCUGAUGCAGCGACGCCGCGUGAGCGAUGAAGCCCUUCGGGGUGUAAAGCUCUUUCGGCAGGGACGAUCAUGACGGUACCUGCAGAAGCAGCUGCGGCUAACUACGUGCCAGCAGCCGCGGUAAUACGUAGGCAGCGAGCGUUGUUCGGAGUUACUGGGCGUAAAGGGUGUGUAGGCGGUUGCUUAAGUUUGGUGUGAAAUCUCCCGGCUCAACUGGGAGGGUGCGCCGAAUACUGAGUGACUCGAGUGCGGGAGAGGAGAGUGGAAUUCCUGGUGUAGCGGUGAAAUGCGUAGAUAUCAGGAGGAACACCGGCGGUGUAGACGGCUCUCUGGACCGUAACUGACGCUGAGACACGAAAGCGUGGGUAGCAAACAGGAUUAGAUACCCUGGUAGUCCACGCCCUAAACGAUGCAUAUUUGGUGUGGGUCAUUCAGUUGAUCCGUGCCGGAGCUAACGCGUUAAAUAUGC
rnacentral:rRNA from 1 species